UACGUAGGGUGCAAGCGUUGUCCGGAAUUAUUGGGCGUAAAGAGCUCGUAGGCGGUUUGUCGCGUCUGCUGUGAAAACCCGAGGCUCAACCUCGGGCCUGCAGUGGGUACGGGCAAACUAGAGUGCGGUAGGGGAGAAUGGAAUUCCUGGUGUAGCGGUGGAAUGCGCAGAUAUCAGGAGGAACACCGAUGGCGAAGGCAGUUCUCUGGGCCGUAACUGACGCUGAGGAGCGAAAGCGUGGGGGAGCGAACAGG
rnacentral:rRNA from 1 species